GUGUCAGCCGCCGCGGUAAGACAGAGGGUGCAAACGUUGCUCGGAAUUACUGGGCGUAAAGCGCGUGUAGGCGGAUACGCAAGUCGGGUGUGAAAGCCCGGGCUCAACCUGGGAACUGCAUUCGAAACUGCGUAUCUCGAGUACUGGAGAGGGAAGCGGAAUUCCCGGUGUAGAGGUGAAAUUCGUAGAUAUCGGGAGGAACACCAGUGGCGAAGGCGGCUUCCUGGACAGUCACUGACGCGGAGACGCGAAAGCGUGGGGAGCAAACAGGAUUAGAUACCCUGGUAGUCCACGCCGUAAACGAUGUGUACUAGGUGUCGCGGACUUUGACCGCCGCGGUGCCGUAGCUAACGCGUUAAGUACACCGCCUGGGGAGUACGGCCGCAAGGUUAAAACUUAAAUGAAUUGACGGGG
rnacentral:rRNA from 1 species